rnacentral:rRNA from 1 species
ACCUGGUUGAUCCUGCCAGUAGUCAUAUGCUUGUCUUAA